rnacentral:rRNA from 1 species
UAAUACGUAGGGGGCAAGCGUUGUCCGGAUUUACUGGGCGUAAAGAGCGCGUAGGCGGACUGUUAAGCGGGGCCGGAAAGCCCCCGGCUCAACCGGGGAAGGGGCCGCGAACUGGCAGUCUUGAGGGGGAGAGGGGAGAGCGGAAUUCCUGGUGUAGCGGUGAAAUGCGUAGAGAUCAGGAGGAACACCAAUGGCGAAGGCAGCUCUCUGGCUUCACCCUGACGCUGAGGCGCGAAAGCGUGGGGAGCGAACGGGAUUAGAUACCCCGGUAGUCCACGCCGUAAACGAUGAUCACUAGGCGUUGGUGGUAUCGACCCCACCAGUGCCGCAGCUAACGCAAUAAGUGAUCCGCCUGGGGAGUACGGCCGCAAGGUUG